CAGAGUUCAUGCCCUUCGGGGUAGAUCUCCCACCCUGUGUAUUUAUACCUUUGUUGCUUUGGCGGGCCGUUAGGCUUCGGCUUAGCUACCGGCCCCGGCUGGUAAGCGCCCGCCAGAGAACCUCAAACUCUGAAUGUUAGUGUCGUCUGAGUACUAUAUAAUAGUUA
rnacentral:misc_RNA from 1 species